rnacentral:rRNA from 1 species
GAUGAACGCUGGCGGCGUGCCUAAUACAUGCAAGUCGAGCGAAUUGACAGAGGUGCUUGCACCUCUCGAUUUAGCGGCGGACGGGUGAGUAACACGUGGGUAACCUACCUAUAAGACUGGGAUAACUUCGGGAAACCGGAGCUACUACCGGAUAAUAUUUAGCUUCGCAUGAAGCAAUAGUGAAAGACGGUUCUGCUGUCACUUAUAGAUGGACCUGCGGUGUAUUAGCUAGUUGGUGAGGUAACGGCUCACCAAGGAAACGAUACAUAGCCGACCUGAGAGGGUGAUCGGCCACACUGGGACUGAGACACGGCCCAGACUCCUACGGGAGGCAGCAGUAGGGAAUCUUCCGCAAUGGACGAAAGUCUGACGGAGCAACGCCGCGUGAGUGAAGAAGGUUUUCGGAUCGUAAAACUCUGUUGUAAGGGAAGAACAAGUACGUUAGUAACUGAACGUACCUUGACGGUACCUUACCAGAAAGCCACGGCUAACUACGUGCCAGCAGCCGCAGUAACAC